ensembl:lncRNA
UUUCUUUCGCCUCCAGAUGUACCAGAAUGCCUGAAGAUGAGAGAGUGUUUCUACUGUAUGGUCUUGGGGAAAUAGAAAAUGAAAUCAAUGUAGUGAUUUAUUGCCCUCUGUGUCACGAUAUGAGACACGUUGGUCAUAGCCUUGAAGGAUUCUGGUUUACGGGACGAGCAGAGGCUUGACUUCUCUUUUAGUCAGGUAUGUUUGAGAUAGCUCUGCUUGUUCCCAAUACCUGGAGGAAAAGGAUACCUGUAUUGGUGUAGUGGGGUUAGAUGGUAGCUGGUUGUGUAGUGGGGCUAGAUGGGGGCUAGAUGGUAGCUGGUUGUGUAGUGGGGCUAGAUGGUAGAUGGUUGUGUAGUGGGGCUAGAUGGUAGAUGGUUGUGUAGUGUGGCUAGAUGGUAGAUGGUUGUGUAGUGUGGCUAGAUGGUAGAUGGUUGUGUAGUGGGGCUAGAUGGUAGCUGGUUGUGUAGUGGGGCUAGAUGGUAGAUGGUAGAUGGUUGUGCAGUGGGGCUAGAUGGUAGAUGGUUGUGUAGUGGGGCUAGAUGGUAGAUGGUUGUGUAGUGGGGCUAGAUGGUAGAUGGUUGUGUAGUGUGGCUAGAUGGUAGAUGGUUGUGUAGUGGGGCUAGAUGGUAGAUGGUUGUGUAGUGGGGCUAGAUGGUAGAUGGUUGUGUAGUGGGGCUAGAUGGUAGAUGGUUGUGUAGUGGGGCUAGAUGGUAGAUGGUUGUGUAGUGGGGCUAGAUGGUAGAUGGUAGAUGGUUGUGUAGUGGGGUUUGAUGGUAGAUGGUUGUGUAGUGGUGCUAGAUGGUAGAUGGUUGUGUAGUGGGGCUAGAUGGUAGAUGGUUGUGUAGUGGGGCUAGAUGGUAGAUGGUAGAUGGUUGUGUAGUGGGGCUAGAUGGUAGAUGGUAGAUGGUUGUGUAGUGGGGUUAGAUGGUAGAUGGUUGUGUAGUGGGGCUAGAUGGUAGAUGGUUGUGUAGUGUGGCUAGGUGGUAGAUGGUUGUGUAGUGUGGCUAGAUGGUAGAUGUUUGUGUAGUGGGGCUAGAUGGUAGAUGGUUGUGUAGUGGGGCUAGAUGGUAGAUGGUUGUGUAGUGGGGCUAGAUGGUAGAUGGUUGUGUAGUGGGGCUAGAUGGUAGAUGGUUGUGUAGUGGGGCUAGAUGGUAGCUGGUCGUGUAGUGGGGCUAGAUGGUAGAUGGUUGUGUAGUGGGGCUAGAUGGUAGCUGGUUGUGUAGUGGGGCUAGAUGGUAGCUGGUUGUGUAGUGGGGAUAGAUGGUAGCUGGUUGUGUAGUGUGGCUAGAUGGUAGAUGUUUGUGUAGUGGGGCUAGAUGGGGGCUAGAUGGCAGCUGGUUGUGUAGUGGAGCUAGGUGGUAGAUGGUUGUGUAGUGGGGCUAGAUGGUAGAUGGUUGUGUAGUGGGGCUAGAUGGUAGAUGGUUGUGUAGUGUGGCUAGGUGGUAGAUGGUUGUGUAGUGGGGCUAGAUGGUAGAUGGUUGUGUAGUGGGGCUAGAUGGUAGCUGGUCGUGUAGUGGGGCUAGAUGGUAGAUGGUUGUGUAGUUGGGCUAGAUGGUAGCUGGUUGUGUAGUGGGGCUAGAUGGUAGAUGGUUGUGUAGUGGGGCUAGAUGGUAGAUGGUAGCUGGUUGUGUACUGGGGCUAGAUGGUAGCUGGUUGUGUAGUGGGGCUAGAUGGUAGAUGGUUGUGUAGUGGGGCUAGAUGGUAGCUGGUCGUGUAGUGGGGCUAGAUGGUAGAUGGUUGUGUAGUGGGGAUAGAUGGUAGCUGGUUGUGUAGUGGGGCUAGAUGGCAGCUGGUUGUGUAGUGGGGAUAGAUGGUAGCUGGUUGUAUAGUGUGGCUAGAUGGUAGAUGUUUGUGUAGUGGGGCUAGAUGGGGGCUAGAUGGCAGCUGGUUGUGUAGUGGGGCUAGGUGGUAGAUGGUUGUGUAGUGGGGUUACAUGGUAGCUGGUUGUGUAGUGGGGCUAGAUGGGGGCUAGAUGGUAGCUGGUUGUGUAGUGGGGCUAGAUGGUAGAUGGUUGUGUAGUGGGGCUAGAUGGUAGAUGGUUGUGUAGUGUGGCUAGGUGGUAGAUGGUUGUGUAGUGUGGCUAGAUGGUAGCUGGUUGUGUAGUGGGGCUAGAUGGUAGAUGUUUGUGUAGUGGGGCUAGAUGGGGGCUAGAUGGCAGCUGGUUGUGUAGUGGGGCUAGGUGGUAGAUGGUUGUGUAGUGGGGUUAGAUGGUAGCUGGUUGUGUAGUGGGGCUAGAUGGGGGAUAGAUGGUAGCUGGUUGUGUAGUGGGGCUAGAUGGUAGAUGGUUGUGUAGUGGGGCUAGAUGGGAGAUGGUUGUGUAGUGUGGCUAGACGGUAGAUGGUUGUGUAGUGUGGCUAGAUGGUAGAUGGUUGUGUAGUGGGGCUAGAUGGUAGAUGGUUGUGUAGUGGGGCUAGAUGGUAGAUGGUUGUGUAGUGGGGCUAGAUUGUAGAUGGUUGUGCAGUGGGGCUAGAUGGUAGAUGGUUGUGUAGUGGGGCUAGAUGGUAGAUGGUUGUGUAGUGGGGCUAGAUGGUAGAUGGUUGUGUAGUGUGGCUAGAUGGUAGAUGGUUGUGUAGUGGGGCUAGAUGGUAGAUGGUUGUGUAGUGGGGCUAGAUGGUAGAUGGUUGUGUAGUGGGGCUAGAUGGUAGAUGGUAGAUGGUUGUGUAGUGGGGUUAGAUGGUAGAUGGUUGUGUAGUGGGGCUAGAUGGUAGAUGGUAGAUGGUUGUGUAGUGGGGCUAGAUGGUAUGGUUGUGUAGUGGGGCUAGAUGGUAGAUGGUAGAUGGUUGUGUAGUGGUGUUAGAUGGUAGAUGGUUGUGUAGUGGGGCUAGAUGGUAGAUGGUUGUGUAGUGGGGCUAGAUGGUAGAUGGUUGUGUAGUGGGGCUAGACGGUAGAUGGUUGUGUAGUGUGGCUAGCUAGAUGGUAGAUGGGUUGUG